rnacentral:rRNA from 1 species
GAUCAUGGCUCAGGAUGAACGCUAGCGACAGGCUUAACACAUGCAAGUCGAGGGGCAGCGGGGUGUAGCAAUACACCGCCGGCGACCGGCGCACGGGUGAGUAACGCGUAUCCAACCUGCCCACCACUUGGGGGAGUAACCUUGCGAAGUAAGACUAAUACCCAAUGACAUCCCACGAAGACAUCUGAAUGGGAUUAAAGAUUUAAUCGGUUGAUGGAUGGGGAUGCGUCUGAUUAG